AUUGAACGCUGGCGGCAGGCCUAACACAUGCAAGUCGAGCGGAUGAAGGGAGCUUGCUCCUGGAUUCAGCGGCGGACGGGUGAGUAAUGCCUAGGAAUCUGCCUGGUAGUGGGGGAUAACGUCCGGAAACGGGCGCUAAUACCGCAUACGUCCUGAGGGAGAAAGUGGGGGAUCUUCGGACCUCACGCUAUCAGAUGAGCCUAGGUCGGAUUAGCUAGUUGGCGGGGUAAAGGCCUACCAAGGCGACGAUCCGUAACUGGUCUGAGAGGAUGAUCAGUCACACUGGAACUGAGACACGGUCCAGACUCCUACGGGAGGCAGCAGUGGGGAAUAUUGGACAAUGGGCGAAAGCCUGAUCCAGCCAUGCCGCGUGUGUGAAGAAGGUCUUCGGAUUGUAAAGCACUUUAAGUUGGGAGGAAGGGCAGUAAGUUAAUACCUUGCUGUUUUGGCGUUACCAACAGAAUAAGCACCGGCUAACUUCGUG
rnacentral:rRNA from 1 species